rnacentral:rRNA from 1 species
GACGAACCGUGCGAACGUUGUUCGGAAUCACUGGGCUUAAAGGGCGCGUAGGCGGGCUGGCAAGUCAGGGGUGAAAGCCCACGGCUCAACCGUGGAAGUGCCUCUGAUACUGCCGGCCUGGAGGGAGGUAGGGGCGUGCGGAACUUCCGGUGGAGCGGUGAAAUGCGUAGAUAUCGGAAGGAACACCGGUGGCGAAAGCGGCGCGCUGGACCUCUUCUGACGCUGAGGCGCGAAAGCCAGGGGAGCAAACGGG